CCAUUGUACAGAAUCCAUGAAGA
rnacentral:piRNA from 1 species